UGUGAAAUUCAACCCAGACAAGAUCCAGGCCAAGAUGAACAAAGUACAUUUCAUGGGCCAUGUGAUAACUCCACAGGGUGUGAAAGCAGAUGCUGGCCAGAUACAGGCAGUAGUGAGGUAUCACUCUCGGCUCCUCUCAGACAGCUGUUGAGAAAGGACAUUGCAUUCCAGUGGCAACCAGAACACAACAGGGCACUUUCUGCACUCAAAACAGCACUGACCAACACACCAGUUCUCAGGUGCUGCUGUCAGUCUCUUCUUCAAUGUCAUCUAGAAUGAGCCUUCCGGAUCCCCGCCUCCACCUCGGUCACAAUCUCCUCCACCGUGGCCCUUCUGGUCCUCCCUGUAGCCCCGGCUCAUCGGCUCUCUGUCCCAGCCUUGGGCUCCUCCACCACAUGCGCCGCAGCCAUCAGUCGGACCCCUGGAGUUGUCAGCCCAUCCUCCACAAUGGCUCCUUCCUCCGUCGGCUCCACCCAUGGGCCACUAUCAUGGCUGUGACCUGGGUCUUGUCUGGCUCCUCUUUCUGCUCUGGUUCCCACCUGUCGUCUCCCGGGCUCCUCCCUCUGUCAUCACCACCCUGGACUCUUUCUAGCCGUCCUCCUGGGAGUCUGUCCUCCACUGGAACCUAAACCUGUCUGGUCUGCCUGCCAACCGUUUGCCUUCCCGUCACCAUGCCACAUCCACUCCUUUGUCCUCCUCCUAAGUCCCCCUCUGUCCCUCCCCCUUUCUCCAUGGCACGAGGACGCGCCUUCCGGGAGGGAAGUUGAUUGUGGACUGUUGAUUUUGUUUUCUCCCUGGAUUUGUUUCUUACAUCAUGCAUCAUUUUGCUUGUCAAACCAUUCAUUCUAAAUUAGUUGUGUAUUACUAAUGUAUUGUGAUGUUUUUAUCAUCUGUUUGCAUUCUCAGUCUGAUGCCAGCCAU